rnacentral:lncRNA from 10 species
AUGGGCAAGCGUCAUGGACUUCGUGUGGCUAGGAAGCUCCACAGUCACUGACGAGACCAGAAGUGGCAUGAAAAACAGUACAAGAAAGCCCAUUUGGGCACAGCCCUGAAGGCCAACCCUUUUGAGGGUUGCAUGAGAGGUGCUUCUCAUGCAAAAGGAAUUGUGCUGGAAAAAAUAGGGGUUGAAACCAAACAGCCAAAUUCUGCCAUCAGGAAGUGUGCCAGCAUCCAGCUGAUCAAGAAUAGCAAGAAAAUCACAGCCUUUGUACCCAAUGGUGGUUGCUUGAACUUUAUUGAGAAAAACGAUAAAGUUCUUGUUGCUGGAUUUGGUUAAAAAGGUCAUGCUGGGGGUGAUAUUCCUGGAGUCUGCUUUAAGGUUGUCAAAGUGCCCAAUGUCUCUCUUUUGGCCCUAUACAAAGGCACGAAGGAAAGACCAAGAUCAUAA